rnacentral:rRNA from 1 species
GACGAACGCUGGCGGCGUGCUUAACACAUGCCAGUCGAACGGAAAGGCCCCUUUUGGGGGACUCGAGUGGCGAACGGGUGAGUAACACGUGAGUAAACUGCCCUUUACUUCGGGAUAACUUCAGGAAACUGGGGCUAAUACCGGAUAGGAAUCCUUGCUGCAUGGUGGGGGUUGGAAAGCUUCUGCGGUUUUGGAUGGACUCGCGGCUUAUCAGCUGGUUGGUGGGGUAGUGGCUUACCAAGGCGUUGACGGGUAGCCGGCCUGAGAGAGCGACAGGCCACACUGGGACCGAGAUACGGCACAGGCUCCUACUGGAGGCAGAAGUGCGGAAUACUGAUCCAUGCGCGGAGGCCUGAUGCAGAAAGGCCUCGUGCGGGAUAACGGCCUUCGGGUUGUAAAACGGUAUCAGCAGGAGCGAAGCUUGUUGUGACGGUACCUGCAGAAGAAGCACCGGCUAACUACGUG